rnacentral:miRNA from 1 species
UGACUGUACCUCAGCAGGUAGA